ensembl:lncRNA
UUUACCUUCUGCACAGCCAGACAGUUUUUUUUUAGCCUGGAUAAUACUCGCCAGUCUAGCUUCCCUGUCCCAUCCACCGCUGUCCCUUGGACACUGUGAUCACUUGGCUACAUAGCUGAUGCCUGCUGGACUGUCCAUUAAUCACGGUGGAGGUCGUUAGCUACAAUGGUAUUUUCAACACCAGGUCAACCAGGUCAACGCCCUCAAGGCCAUGCGGCUCGAAGGUAUUCCAGGGUGCAUUAUCAGAGCAUACGCAAACAGCUGCCGGGCACGUUCGUGGUUGGAUCAGUCAUGGACAGAAACUUCUGAGACGCGGUAUCAAUGAUGAACACCCAGAGGUUCACUGGUAAACCACAUUUUACUCGGGAUCCAUCCCAGUUGGUAUUCUGUGUCCACUCGUGGUAUCUCUCUUCGGUUACACAUCCCUGGAAUAGCAGAACAGCAUAACGUCAGAAGAGGAAUGGAAAUGUCAGGGUAAACCGACGACCUGACGAACCCACCAAGAUUGUUGACUCUGCCUGUCGGAGGUGGAGUUCCAGAGCUCACAGGUGUGCCUGGCAUGGAUUGUGACUCCAUCUCGUUCUUCGCCCUCUUCAACGUGUCAUUCUCCGCCUGACUCUCCGCCAAUGCCGCCUGGCUCUGGACCAAUGCAUCAGCUGUCGCCUGUAUCUCUGCCCUCAGAGAAUGUUUCUCUUUCUGCUGGU